CCACUUACCCGGCAGGGGAGAAUCGGUGGUCACGAUGGCCGCUCUCCCAGGACGUGUCCAUCCCAUUGCACUUUGGGUGUGCUGACGCCUGGGAUGUCCCCAAAUGCGGGAUUCUCUACUGCAAGAUUUGGUGGCGCAGCGGUGGAGUUGCUGCCUUACCGCAC